UCCCUAAAAAAGAAACAUACUUGAAGAAACCCUAGAUCUGCCGCACAAGUUGUUCCUCUCCUAAUCAAGGCGAUUCUCCAUCUUCACUUCGUCAUCCCUUCAUCAUCUUCAAUUUAUGACUUCUGUGUUGAACUCACACUCAAUGGCGGCCAGAAACACACUCCUCAUGUACCGGCGUGACACCAGUUCUUCAAUCUUUAUGCGCUCAAAACCCUAGCAUAAUCAUUCUUCAGUAUUUUCCUGUUCCAAACACAUUGAAACCCUAAUGUGUUCCACUUCCUCUAAUCGUCGAUUCCACCUCCACAAUCCUGCACCUCUCGACUUGUAAAAAGAUGAGAUUGAAGUUGUAGAUGGCAAAGAAAUUGACCCGGAGAUUGUGCCGACGGUGAUGAUUUUGGAUAUGUUAUUAUACGUUAUUUGGAUCUGUUCUAAAAUACCCUAAUGAAAAGUUAUAUUAUUCGAUGUUACUUAUUUGCAGUCAUUUCGGAAUUGAUACAUUACACAUCUGCAAGAAACGUGGAUUGAUUUACCGUUCAGAUGCCAUUGAUUCAAAUAAUUGUGUCUCAAGAUGAGGAAGAUGUAAAGGCGAUUGCUCGAUUAUUUGCUGAUAUCGGCGAUUCCUAUGUUGAAUUGAUUGCAACCGGUAUGAUACUUGAUCUAUUGAUCAUUGUGAAUCUUCAGCUAUUUUAUGGUUUCACCUUUUUAGUAUGUAGUUUCAGAAUUUAAUCUAACUUUUUUUCUCAUUUUCGUUUGGUUUCAUUUUCACUUUUUCUACAAAAAAACUCCAAAAGACAACAAAGCAAGGCUGGUCAUCCAUGGAUUUAUAAAGAAGGUGUUGUAUGAAAGAAAUAUGAAUAAACCAUUGCACCAAGUGAUGAGGAUUUUUCAAGCAUCACAGACGGUACUUACACAAAAUCAAAGGUUCUGAAAAUGGAGAGUCAAGUUCUGAACAUUUUGAAUUUUCACCUUUCACCACCAACAGUACAAACAUUUCUCAGGAGAUUUAUAAGAGCAGCACAAGCUUCCUAUCAGAGCCUGAGUCUUGAAUAGGAGUUUUUGACAAGUUAUCUAGCUGAGUUGACCCUGAUUGACUAUAAUUUCUUGGUAUUUGUUCCAUCAAAUAUUGCUCCAGCGGCUAUGUUUCUUGCCAGAUGGAAGCUAGAUCAGUCGGGCCACCCUUGGGAGUCAAGGAGCAUUAACGAGAUUGCUUGCAUGAGAAAAACCUACAUAGCUGGUGCUUUAAGGGGCUUUUUGGUAAUUUAGGUAAUUUUAUGAAGGUUUAUGAUGCGGUGGUGGUUAGGGCAGGAAGUGCUGGACUUCGAGUCGAUAUAUGGCUGUCUGAGCAUGGAUUUAAUAUUGCUUUCCGACUUGAUCACACACUGUCACUGCUCAGCAAGGUUUUAAUGCAACAGUGGAUAAGCACCAGCAUGGAGUAGGUCAUGAGGUGUUUCAUUUAUAUGGCAAAGCUUAAAGCUCUAUUCGGAUUAAUCACAUCUGGGUAUCUCUUCAAUUCGUGACGAACAAAUGAAUUUUCAAGGGUAUGCAACGUGACGAUGGGAUCGAGAUGCGUGACCCAUUCAACAUUGUUGGGUCACUCCGUUUAGACAAGUGGCAGGGCCGGGUGCCCGGGUCGCUGCCGACCCAGUUUGAUACGGCGUCUAUUUGUGCCAACACGUUUCUGUAGUUGAAUUAUCUUGAUAUAAACCCAACCCGUAUGGGUCUGGUUCUUACUUUCAUCAAACUCUAUACACAUUUUUUGCUUAUUCUUUCAAAUUUUGUUGUAGAAACAUAGACAUUUUGUGACUGAACUGAAUAUUAAAAGAACAAUGGUUUACCUUCAUUUUGUGUACAUCGUAUUUGAUUGGUAUUUCUUCAUUUUGCAAAUGCUGUUCUACUACCAAUUUAUCUGCAAAAUUCACAGAAGUGGUUGCACCCGAGAUUCAGACAUCCAUAUGGCACUUGGCUAAGAGGGCGUUGCUUGCUCUGAGAGGGCUCGGGCGUUGCGUACUCAAGGUCAAACAGUUAAAUGUAAAGCAACCUCCACCUUGAAAUGUAUGCAGACAUUGGCUAGACAUUGGCUUGUGCACUGUCUCAGGUUUAGUUGAGGUGUGCGUUUGUAUGUCCGAGGAUAACAUAGUUGUCUAAGAACUCUUUUGAAGGUUAAUAAAGAUUUCAACAACAUUACAUGGGACCGAGCGAGAUAUUACAAAGAACACCUCAUUAUAUGAGCAAGUUUGUGUUGUUAUACCAGACAUAAUUGCUCACUUUGAUGGACCUGACAUGCAGAGGAUGAAAUAGAGAAGUAUUAUGAAACUCAUGAUUGCUAAGUGCGGAUUAAGCGUUCAACAUAUUUUCCAGGGGUGCGGUCAGAUUUUUUGCCUAAGAUAUACAUUAGUUUUUUUUCAAGUGAUGUCCCCGUCCACCCACGACUAUGGAUAAGUCCUCCAUGCAUCCCAUAUUCCUUACCAAUGUUGAAAUUUUACUAAAAAUGGUUCAUGUGUCGAUGCUUCAGUUACAUGUGUCAUGCCACCAUUUCUUUUGGAACUUUUAAUCUUAUUAAUUAAUAGAAGUAUUUAUAAUAUUUUGUUCUUUUA